CACGUAUAAAUUAAAUUCAAAGAAGAUAAGAGAUACUCCAUUUAGGAGUUUGGGCUUCUAAUUUGCGUGACUCCGAAGCUCUCGUGAUCCUAGUAGCAAUGCUACUACCUGAUGGGUCAGAAAUGAGUUCCAUUAGCUCUCGAAUUAGCUCCCGAAUUCACAUGUAAAAAAGAAAAAUAAGGAUUAGUAACUAACUCAAAUUUUCCAUAAAUGAAUAAAACCUGACGUAAAGAUAUGUAAAUCACAACACAUGCACUUAGGACAUAGCACAUACAUAAAAUUGAUUCAUUUUGUUACCGGAAACGAAAUAUGCCACUAUAACUCAAAUUGUUGAGAAGGACCCUUGCUAACAUAGGUUCUUGCGUCAAAAUGAUUAAGGACUGAAGUUGUAUUUUCUCGUGGCUCUUACUCCCACAAACUCCAUUAAAUAAGGGACUUUAGAAAAGUAGGAAAGGGCAGAAACCAAUUAAGAGUAUUAAGGAUUAUAUUAUUCUAACAUGUAAUACUCCCUCCGUUUAAAGAAGAUUGACCUAUUUUCCUUUUUAAUCCGUUUUAAAAAAAAUGAUCCCUUUCCCUUUUUAGCAAUACUUUAAUUUCAACCAGGACUAAAGGGCAUUUUGAUACAUUUGACACAACUUUAAUUUAAAGUCACAAGAUCCAAAAAUCUGCUUUAUUUCUUAAACUUUGUGCCAAGUCAAAAUAGGUCAUUCUUUUUUAAACGGAGGGAGUAUAAAAUUUCUCGUCUUAAAAGGAUAUUAUGAGAAACCAAGUAGUACUAAUUUCAACCAUGAUAGAUAGUUUCCCUCCAUACCAAAGACAACAUAAGAGUAAUAUUGGAGGUACAAAUCUGUCAAUAAGACGAGAAUGAAGGCAACUAUAUGGCUACAAACACAGGUGCAUGACACAAAAUCACUAGUCAUCCGGAUUGCCUCGCCAAGAUACGGGUCAGGUUUCCUCCAUUGUCCCGAAUAAUAACAACAAUACUAAUAAUAACAAUAACAACAAUUAAUCAUGAGUUCAGCCCACAAAUCAUUAUCGUAAGGCAAAUAAUAAACAUCGUUAUUUUCAUCACCUCUCUUUUGGUGGUAGCAAAUUUGCGGACUGUUUUAAGAAAGGUAAAAGAUGGAAAAGAAAAGUAAUAAUAAUAGUACUGCACUAUAUUAUAAACAUGUUCAUAUUUUAUAUUAUCUUGGUUUUUGUUGGAAAUAAGAGAAAGGGAGGGUGGUAUGCUCACUAGCUAACCAAAUUUUUCAGAUUGUAGAUCAAUUCAAGCAAAUUUUACAUACCAAGAAAAUGCACGACCACACGAAGCACUGGAGAUCUCUAAAGAUCAUUCAUGACUUCAAUCAUAAUAGACAGGCCUUUAGCCGAGGGAUUAUCAAGCAGAGGAAUACAAAAGAUGGAGCAUACAUGAAUGACACAAAACCAAAAAAAAAAAAGGAAACAGAGAUCAUCUUAAGGAGGGAGUAUGAGCUUUAUGAGAGUUUAGUUAUUUCUAGCAAAAGGUCAUGAAUAAGAGUUUAAUCUUUCAACCAAAUUUGACCCUCAUAAAUUCAUUAGUGAGGUUGGCAAGUGGUUACUGGGAGCAACACAAAUUUUAAAAUUAUUUCUUACUAAGUAUAAGAUAAUUAAAGUGACUAACUAGUUUUAAAACCCAACCAAAAUUUAACAAAGUUCAAACACUUGGUGAAAAUGACUCAUUGAAAUCUUUCAACAUUUUCUAACGAACAAUCAAAGCAUGCUCACAGUAUACAUGUUUCAAAAAUCUUUAUCUCCUAUAGGCACUACAACUAACUUGUUUAAUCGUACCUUACCGAGGUUACACGAAAAUAUCUCAUGAGCAGUCCAUCGAAGACAUUAUAAGCAGUCAAUAUAGGAAAUUAACAUCACUUACACGAAUUACAUGAACGUGGAACACACACUUAGUAAUUAGUUCUUGUGAAUAUGAUUUGGGAUAAAACAAGUAGUUCAGUCAAACCUAUUUCUAGUCCAUGAAGCAAAACCUUUAAGCCAAACAAGAUUACCAGAUUAUCUCUUUAGAAAAAAAAUACUCAUAUGAGUCUGAGAAGUUUACAAGUGUGAAUCCAUAAAAUGAAUCUCAUGAGAAAGGCUUAGAUAUUCUUGAUAAAACAAAGGUAAAAGCGACAAUCUAUAAGCAUAUGUGCUCAGCUACAACAGGAAAACAAUCACACUUCGAUACUCCAUCAUUUUUACCUAGAACUACGUUACCAUGAAACCUUCGAACUACACUUAUUGGAUGGUUUAACUUUGCACAAUAUUGAAACACAUCAUGAAAUAUCUAGACGGACAACAAAAUAUCUGUGAAGUUUUGAGCCCUUUAGAACUCCUUUUCAUAUAAAAUUAUAGUGGCCGACACCUUAUAAGCACACCAGACAAACCAACACAUAGCUGAAUCACUAUUAGCAAGUUGAAAGUGUCUAAACCGUCAUCACAAUGAGCUCAAAACGUCCAACUGAACAUAUAUCGAAAACUUAAAACCUUCAUGGGAUUUAUUCCAAGUUGAUUCAAGGUUGUGAAUAAUUGUAUCACCUUACCUAUAUGAAAUCAAACGACUCAAGGGCUACCGUUUUGAAAUUCACAUUCACGGCUAGCGACACAAGAACAGCCCACUCUGUUUGAAUCCUCAGAAUUUAUAGGUUCCAUUCAAACCAAAUCACAAACUAAAAAUAUUCUGUAAAUGCAUCACAUACUGUGAACAAAACCAAAUGACCAGACGUCAUUUUGUAUCUUAUAUUCAUCUCCAGAAUCUACCGAAAAAUUUAAAAAAAAAAAAAAAAACUAAGUAUAAUGUAAUUAGACGAGAUAGCAUUUCACAUACUUACCCGAUUUCCAGAAUUAAUUAACAACUUUAAACUUGAAUUUGGUCAAAGAUAAGUGCACAAACACGACUACAUCAACAUCUACACGAUAUUCGCGAAGGAUUUUGGCUAAAAAAUAUUUCAACUGGCAGCAAUUUGAGAGAUGCUUGAGCGGCUUAAAAUAAGACACUUUUCGUACAUAUCAGAUUUUAAAAAUAGGGGAAAGGGAGUGUCCUCAAAAGAAAAUCUAAAACGUAUUUAAAUUCAGGAAAUCGAUUCGUGACUAAGGGACGACAACAUCAAAACAUGGCGAAAAAACAAGAAUAUCACAUGUUCACCUUCGAGUCAAUCUUCCGAAAUCGAUAAUAACAUAAUCUUAAUCGGAAAUCACUUAUGACCUCAUUUUAGCAUCAACCAGCCAAAACAUAAUCCAUUUAUUUAGCACAAGAUGAACGAAUUUCGACGAAAUUCCAUAUCGCACAACUGAGACAAGCAAAAGAGGAAAAAUGAACAGUGAAGAUAAAAUAGGUGAGUUCGUACCUUUCUUGGUGCAGCAAACGUGAAGCUCUCCGUCGAGGACUUUUCCGGGGACGAACUCACGGUAGAACUCCUAACUUGGAUCCCAAAUCGAUAAGAAAUUUAUCAAUUUUGAGACCCCCUUUUCUCUCUGUUUUCACUUGUUCCUUACUGCCCUUCUCCUAAUCUUUUUUCUCUUCUCUGAUCUUCAAGUCUGUCCCUCAGAUGAUCAAAUUCAAGUCCGAAUUUUAAACCUUAGAAAUAAAAAAAACGGGAAGAAGAAUGAUUUUUUUUUUGCAACCAAAUCCGAAACUAUUCCAAUCCCAGCUUUCUCAGGCUAUUGAUGGCGGAAUAGUGUGAUUUUUUCACUAUUCUUUCCUGUUCCUGCCGAUUCACGUGAUGGACCGGACGGAAAUAGUGAGCAACUUGCGUAGGGAAUGCAGGCUGCUGCGGCUAUGGCUGCUAGCCGUUCCAACUUGGGAGAGAGAGAGAUGAGGAAGGGGAGGAGAGAGGGGAGCGUUUGAAAGCUUUCUUUUUCUUGGAAAAUAUGAUGGGAUUAUGGGUGUGUUUGGUAC
rnacentral:lncRNA from 1 species